GCGUUCAUAAGGAGGCUGUCAGUGGCAAGAAAGGUCCGGAAGCACCGGGCAAGGAAAAGUGCUGUAUUAGUUGUGUCGCCGGCACCCCGAGCAACUAUCACAAAUGAGAACGCUGCUUCUGAACUACAGGCCCUAAGCUCUUCAAGUAUGAGUGCUGCAUCACUUGAUAUGCAAAGAAUGAGAAUCCUGCUGACGGUGACGCUCCCAGACCGCCGCAAUACACACAUGGACCCUCUCCCACAGUACUUUUUGGUGGAGGAAAUACUGUGCAUUGAGGUGGAACUUCGGUUUGGAUCGAAGAUAACAGAACUUGAGAACAAACUCGCUGCUGUGGCGCGAGUCUUCUCGGAAAAUGAAGAACAGGAAUGCACGCUGGUGGA